GACGGAGGGGGCUAGCGUUGUUCGGAAUUACUGGGCGUAAAGCGCACGUAGGCGGCUUUGUAAGUUAGAGGUGAAAGCCCGGGGCUCAACUCCGGAAUUGCCUUUAAGACUGCAUCGCUAGAAUUGUGGAGAGGUAAGUGGAAUUCCGAGUGUAGAGGUGAAAUUCGUAGAUAUUCGGAAGAACACCAGUGGCGAAGGCGGCUCACUGGACCGGUAUUGACGCUGAGGUGCGAAAGCGUGGGGAGCAAACAGG
rnacentral:rRNA from 1 species